rnacentral:rRNA from 1 species
UACGUAGGUGGCAAGCGUUGUCCGGAAUUAUUGGGCGUAAAGCGCGCGCAGGCGGCCUUUUAAGUCUGAUGUGAAAUCUUGCGGCUCAACCGCAAGCGGCCAUUGGAAACUGGGAGGCUUGAGUACAGAAGAGGAGAGUGGAAUUCCACGUGUAGCGGUGAAAUGCGUAGAGUAUGUGGAGGAACACCAGUGGCGAAGGCGACUCUCUGGUCUGUAACUGACGCUGAGGCGCGAAAGCGUGGGGAGCAAACGG